rnacentral:rRNA from 1 species
GAUGAACGCUAGCGAUAGGCUUAACACAUGCAAGUCGAGGGGCAGCACAAGGUAGCUUGCUAUCUGGGUGGCGACCGGCGCACGGGUGCGUAACGCGUAUGCAACUUGCCCUAUACAGGAGGAUAACCCGUCGAAAGACGUACUAAUACUGCGUAUGCUCACAACUUGGCAUCAAGUGGUGAGGAAAGAAAUUCGGUAUAGGAUAGGCAUGCGUCCCAUUAGCUUGUUGGUGAGGUAACGGCUCACCAAGGCAACGAUGGGUAGGGGAACUGAGAGGUUUAUCCCCCACACUGGUACUGAGACACGGACCAGACGCCUACGGGAGGCAGCAGUGAGGAAUAGUGGGCAAGGGGCGCGAGCCUGAACCAGCCAAGUCGCGUGAAGGAUGACUGUCUUAUGGAUUGUAAACUUCUUUUAUACGGGAAUAACAAGAGUCACGGGUGACUCCCUGCAUGUACCGUAUGAAUAAGCAUCGGCUAACUCCGUG